rnacentral:rRNA from 1 species
GGGGGGGGGCGCCUACCAUGCAGUCGAGCGCAAUCCUUCGGGAUCGAGCGGCGGACGGGUUAGUAACGCGUGGGAACAUACCCUUCUCUAAGGAAUAGCCUCGGGAAACUGAGAGUAAUACCUUAUACGCCCUUCGGGGGAAAGAUUUAUCGGAGAAGGAUUGGCCCGCGUAAGAUUAGAUAGUUGGUGGGGUAAUGGCCUACCAAGUCUACGAUCUUUAGCUGGUUUGAGAGGAUGAUCAGCAACACUGGGACUGAGACACGGCCCAGACUCCUACGGGAGGCAGCAGUGGGGAAUCUUAGACAAUGGGCGAAAGCCUGAUCUAGCGAUGCCGCGUGUGUGACGAAGGCCUUAGGGUCGUAAAGCACUUUCGCCAAGGAUGAUAAUGACAGUACUUGGUAAAGAAACCCCGGCUAACUCCGUGCCAGCAGCCGCGGUAAC